rnacentral:snRNA from 1 species
UCCGUAACUUCGGGAAAAGGA